rnacentral:rRNA from 1 species
CCUACGGGUGGCAGCAGUGAGGAAUAUUGGUCAAUGGCCGGAAGGCUGAACCAGCCAUGCCGCGUGAAGGUCAGUGCCCUAUGGGCGUUAAACUUCUUUUGUGCGGGAGCAAUAAUGGUCACGUGUGGCCAGACGAGAGUACCGUACGAAUAAGCAUCGGCUAACUCCGUGCCAGCAGCCGCGGUACUACUGGGGAUGCAAGCGUUAUCCGGAUUUAUUGGGUUUAACGGGUGCGUAGGCUGUGAGGUAAGUCAGCGGUGAAAUACCCCCGCUAAACGGGGUGAAGUGCCAUUGAUAAUGCCGUGCUGGAAUGCGGAUGCCGUGGGAGGAAUGUGUGGGGUAGCGGUGAAAUGCAUAGAUAUCACACAGAACACCGAUUGCGAAGGCAUCUCACGAAUCCGCGAUUGACGCUGAUGCACGAAAGCGUGGGUAUCAAACAGGAUUAGAUACCCGAGUAGUC